rnacentral:lncRNA from 1 species
CAGCCCAGCCCACUUCCUCCUCCACAUGUAGGUGGGCCUGGGGCGUGCCUGAGUGGUCUGGUUGGUGUACUCCAGGAGCAGGUUCUGAGUAAACACCAUCUCUCUCUCUCCACUCGCACUCUGCUGAAUGUCCACCCCAGGCAGUGUCUGGUCGGCCGGGAGCUUCUGAUAGGAGAGCAGCUCCAGGGAGAGUGAGAAGGACACGUUCACCUGAGCAGAUGUGGACAUGGUGUCAACUCCGGCUGCAGAGGGCAGGUGGCCACUUCCCCACCUGAAGCUCCAUCCUCCUUUCCUCCCAGGCCCAGCCUUGCCCAGCAGCUCCCCAACCUGGUGCUUUCAUUCCACAAGCGCUGCCCAGCACCUACUCUGCCCAGCACCCUGCUAGUGUGAUGCAGGGGCUGCCAGGAGAUAGAGGAGGGCACAGGUGGGGCCUGCGGCCAAGGGAUACAGACAAAUGGUCCACGGCUGAGAGGAGCUGAGGGCUGGGCCUUGGGGGCCACCACAGGAGGAGCGGUG